GACGAACGCUGGCGGCGUGCCUAAUACAUGCAAGUCGAACGAGUGGCGGACGGGUGAGUAAUGUCUGGGAAACUGCCUGAUGGAGGGGGAUAACUACUGGAAACGGUAGCUAAUACCGCAUACCAUCGGAUGUGCCCAGAUGGGAUUAGCUAGUAGGUGGGGUAAAGGCUCACCUAGGCGACGAUCCCUAGCUGGUCUGAGAGGAUGACCAGGCAGACUGGAACUGAGACACGGUCCAGACUCGUACGGGAGGGAGCAGUGGGGAAUAUUGCAGAAGGGGCGCAAGGCGGAUGCAGCCCUGGCGCGUGUAUGAAGAAGGCCUUCGGGUUGGAAAGUACUUUCAGCGGGGAGGCGUUACCCGCAGAAGAAGCACCGGCUAACUCCGUGCCAGCAGCCGCGGUAAUUC
rnacentral:rRNA from 1 species